rnacentral:RNase_P_RNA from 1 species
CGAGAAAGUCGGCUUGUUGAUUCUUGCUUCGGCAGGGGUAGGAAAGUCCGGACACCAUAGAGCAGCAAAGCGGAUAACAUCCGUCACCCGUGAGGGUAGGACAAGUGCAACAGAAAGCAAGUACAGUUCGGCUGUAGUGAAACCAGGUAAACUCUUUGUGGUGCAAUGAUAAGUAUAUCGGUUCUUUUCAGCAAUGAAAAUAGGAGUUGCUCGCUCUGAAAGCCGAGGGGUAAUCAGCUCAAGUUUUGCAGCAAUGUAAAACGCAGAUAAAUAACAAGCACUUCUUCGAAGUACAAAAUCCGGCUUACAGAUUUUCUCGUAUU